rnacentral:rRNA from 1 species
GACGAACGCUGGCGGCGUGCUUAACACAUGCAAGUCGAACGGUGAAGCGCCUUCCUUUUUGGUGGGUGUGGAUGAGUGGCGAACGGGUGAGUAACACGUGAGUAACCUGCCCCCUUCUUCUGGAUAACCGCAUGAAAGUGUGGCUAAUACGGGAUAUUCUGGGUCUGUGGCGUGAUGGGUCUGGGAAAGAUGUUGUUUCGGUGGGGGAUGGGCUCGCGGCCUAUCAGCUUGUUGGGGGGGUGAUGGCCUACCAAGGCGGUGACGGGUAGCCGGGCUGGUGGGGUGGCCGGUCACACUGGGGAGGAGCCACGGCCGGGCCUAGUAAGGGCCGCAGCAGCGGGGAGUAUUGGACAAUGGGCGCAAGCCUGAUGCAGCGACGGCGCGAGAGGGAUGGAGGCCUUCGGGGUGUGAACCUCUUUCGCCAGUGAAGCAGGCCUGCCUCGUGUGUGGGUGGGUUGACGGUAGCUGGAGAAGAAGCGCCGGCUAACUACGUG